rnacentral:rRNA from 1 species
CAAGUCGAGCGAGAAAGUUCCUUCGGGAACGAGUACAGCGGCGCACGGGUGAGUAACACGGUAGGUAACCUACCCUCGAGACCCGGAAUAACCCGUCGAAAGAUGGGCUAAUGCCGGAUGGGACCACGGUGGUCACGGCCACUGCGGUGAAAGACGGCCUCUGUUCACAAGCUGUCACUGGAGGAUGGGCCUGCGCGCCAUUAGCUAGUUGGUGAGGUAACGGCUCACCAAGGCGAUGAUGGCUAGCUGGUCUGAGAGGAUGGCCAGCCACACUGGGACUGACACACGGCCCAGACUCCUACGGGAGGCAGCAGUGGGGGAUAUUGCGCAAUGGCGAAAGCCUGACGCAGCGACGCCGCGUGGGUGAUGAAGGCCUUCGGGUCGUAAAGCCCUGUCGAGGGGGACGAAUCAGCCUGGCCCUAAUACGGUCGGGCCCUGACGGUACCCCUAAAGGAAGCACCGGCUAACUCCGUGCCAGCAGCCGCGGUAA